AAGGGGUUAGGAAUAUAAGAGGUGCCUCCCUUCCUUGAAACUUCACCUUUGCUUCAAGAGCACCACAGAGCAGAUUCUUCGAGGCAGGGAUAUACAAGAAUCCCUGUGGAAAACCUCAUGAACUCAAGGUCAUGCAGAGACUUAGGGAAGAACUGGGACUGGCUUAUCAAGACUCUACACUACUGACCCAGGGCUUGGCAGUUUCUGUCCUAGAAAUCAGCACACGUAGCUCAUGCAUCACCAAGAAGGUGGUCACCCUAAGAAGUGGUUCCCCACUCUUUGUUCUAAGAUAUUCCUCUCUCAGAAACCACAUCUGUUUUCAACUUUUUUUUUUUUUAGACAGUCUCACUCUUGUCACCCAGGCUGGAGUACAGUGGUGCAAUCUCGGCUCACUGCAAUCUCUGCCUCCGGGGUUCAAGCAAUUUUUCUGCCUCAGCCUCCCAGUAGCUGAGUCUACAGGCAUGUGCCACCAUGCCCAGCUAGUUUCUUGUAUUUUAUUAGUAGAGAUGGGGUUUCACCAUGUUGUCCAGUAUGGUCUCAAACUGCUGAGCUCAGGCAAUCCACCCACCUCAGCCUCCCAAAGUGCUAGAAUUACAGGUGUAAGCCACUGUGCUCAACCUGUUUUCAACUAAUUUAACUCACAUCUGAUACCCAACUCUCUGCUCCCAUUAGUUCAUCUCAACUGGGAUUUGCUGACUGUCUAUAUAUGCCAGCCAUUUCACCAGGCUCUGGGACUCACAGAGGCAUAAACUGCCAUCUUCACCCUGCAGGCACUCAGAUCUAGGGCAGGAUUUGAAGAUGGAAAUCAAUGAAGUCCUUAUAAAUCAUGUCAUCCUUGUGGUCUAGUCCUGGAGUGCCAUUAGAUUAAAGGAAAUAAUGUUCAACACUCCUAAGUUAUUGGAAAGUCAUCUAAAUCCUUUACUUGCUUUUUUCAAAGAAAAGCAAAGAAAGUCUCAUUCAUAUUCCAUUGCAACACUUUAUAAUAUCCCUAGAUAAUUGCUGAAUAGUCAAGAAAACAGAAAUAUAGGCUUAAUGAAAAUAUGAGAGAAAAGUUCAAAGACAUGGAGGAGAAUGGAUGAAAGGGGGUGAGACUGGAGGAAGGAAAAUUGGCUAGACCUAUCAUCAUGGUAGUAAUUGGAAGCAAGAGGUGAUGAGAACCUCAACUCAAACAGUGGGAUGGGGGUGGAGUUGAACAGGACGAGUUCAAGAGAUAUUUAAGAGAGAUGUGAGGGAGAGAUUCAGGAAGUGAUGUUGACAGCCCUGCAGAACUAGCUGAAAGUCUAACUUUCUCACAUGGAGAUUUCUUGAGUCACUUUAGACUCAAUACGUCCAAACUGCAUUUACCAUGUUACCUUCAAGCCAGUUCCCCUUCCUGACUCUGCCAUUUCUGUCAGACAUGCCACCAAUUUUCUAACCUCUGGCCUUAAAAACUGGUGACCUAUCAUUUCCCUUCCCUUCUCCUUCAUUCCCCAUAAUCACGUCUGACACUAAUCCCUGCGUAUCUCCUCAAAUCACCCUUUGUUCUCUAUUUAUGCUUCCACUGGAAAGGUCCAGCUCACCUCAUCUCACCUCUAGAUUACUGCAGUAACCUCCAGCUGGCCUCCUUGACUCCAGUCUCCUCCCCACUGUCCAGCACAUCCUAAUCACGACAGGAAGACGGAUCUUCCCUCAGCAUGUCUUUCUCCUUCACACCGUAUUGCCCCACUGCAUCUGGUCCAAACACCUCGGUCUGGCUUGCAAGAGCUCCAUCCUGUGGGCUCAUGGUAAUCAUCAAGCUCGGUUCUGGUCAGGUGGGUAUCCCUAGGCUCCUCAGAAAGGCCAGGCUCAUGCCCACCUAGGUGUUAUUGCUCCACAUGAUCCCCCACCUGGAAUGCUCUUCCUCCCUCUUUCACCUUUCCAGUCUGGUGAGGGGGCGACCUCUGAUCAGUGCCUUGCUUGCUGAUGCCUGCCAUCUGCAGUCAGUGUCACACAGCUUAACCCUAAACGAUCCCUUUCUUAUUCCAAGUGUCCAAGUUUUCUCCCGCCAGCUGGGCUGUCUAUUCCCUUGGGAACAGAAAUCUCUCACUUUGCUCAGCUGUCUCUGCUAAUCCUGGAAGAAGAAAGAUCUCAAGGGAGCUUUAGUAUUUCAGUUUUUGAUCAUAUUUAUGCUAUGUUUUUAUCCAUAUAAAGCAUGAAAAAUACAAUAAUGUUUGAAAGUUCUCGCACAAUUUGAUCUCUAAUUCAUGUUACACUAUUAAAUUAUAAUUAUUAAAUUACAUAUUUUAAAACCAAAGAUUUAAGGUGAAGCUAUCUCUUAGGUCAUAACCUCUUAACAAACAUGAACAUCUCCAUGUCUACAAGUUGUAGUGGAUGUAUUCUAUUUCUUUUUUCUUCAUGAGAGGAGUUUCUAUUCAUGGGGAACACACUACCUGCCAGGCACUGAAUUAGUUGCUUUAUUUUCUUCAUGAGAGAAGUUUCUAUUCAUGGGGAACACACUACCUGCCAGGCACUGAAUUAGUUGCUUUAUUUUAUUUAAGCCUCACUACUAUCCUUGUUUCCUUAAAAAUGUAUUUUUAUUUAACAGUUAUAUUUAAAAAUAGUAUUGCAUAUGUCAAAAAAUGCACUUUGAAGUCUAAUGGAACUAAAAGGUACUCCGAUCUCCACUUUCAAUGUUUCAAAGAAAAUAAUGAGACAUUGUUUUAGAAAGUCAUCGAUUAAAAUAAAGAUGUGAGAUUUUACAAGCAAUUAGAGAAAAUCUAUAACAUGAACAAAGAUUUAAAAAUAUAUGUACUCCUUUCUCACUGUUGAAUACAUCUUGGCAUGUUAUCGAGCAAAGGUCAAACAGUUUAUAACUUCAAGAUACUGAAAGGUUGAGGAAGGGGAGCGUGUGCCUGAUUACUGGGCUAUGAAAACUGUAAGUAGAGGAACAUACAGGUAUAUUUUAUCUCACAGAAUUCCUUUAGAAAUCUCUACAUUUUUGAGCCCCUCUGCUCCACACACCCUGCAUUCUGACUUCCUAAAACACAAAAUUAUCCACUCUUUCUUAUUAUUUUAAAAGGAUACAUUCUUCAUUAGUGAUUCCCUUCCUGACCUAAUACCACAGCCUGUUAUACAGAGCCUGAACUUCUAAGCCAUGUGCAGCUGCCUGUCCCUCAACAUCCCUUAUCCUUUUCCCAGUAACCCCAUCCCCACUUUCAGACUGUGUGGGGUCAGAGCCCAUGACCAAGGGCAAAGCCAGUGACACUCAACCUUCUUGUAGACCCUGUGGUUCAGGGGCAUCACACGGCCCGAGUUAGUAAAUCUUAGGGCUUCUACAGGAGCUACUAGAAAAAUGGCUCUAUCCAUUGGACUUGAAUCUGGGAGCUAUGAGGUGGGGCUGUGGCAGUGGUCUGGCCAUGGCAAAGGGAGGGCCUUUUUGAGAAUGAAGCCAACAGAAUAAGGGGUUUGAG